CAAGGGAUAGCUCAAACUUGGAAGAGCGCUUGAUCGGCAUUCAUGAGGAUGUGGGUUCGAGUCCCACUCCCUUGC
rnacentral:tRNA from 1 species